rnacentral:rRNA from 1 species
AGUCGAACGAGCGAGAGAGAGCUUGCUUUCUCGAGCGAGUGGCGAACGGGUGAGUAACGCGUGAGGAACCUGCCUCAAAGAGGGGGACAACAGUUGGAAACGACUGCUAAUACCGCAUAAGCCCACAGCUCGGCAUCGAGCAGAGGGAAAAGGAGCAAUCCGCUUUGAGAUGGCCUCGCGUCCGAUUAGCUAGUUGGUGAGGUAAUGGCCCACCAAGGCGACGAUCGGUAGCCGGACUGAGAGGUUGAACGGCCACAUUGGGACUGAGACACGGCCCAGACUCCUACGGGAGGCAGCAGUGGGGAAUAUUGCACAAUGGGGGAAACCCUGAUGCAGCGACGCCGCGUGGAGGAAGAAGGUCUUCGGAUUGUAAACUCCUGUUGUUGAGGAAGAUAAUGACGGUACUCAACAAGGAAGUGACGGCUAACUACGUGCCAGCAGCCGCGGUAAAACGUAGGUCACAAGCGUUGUCCGGAAUUACUGGGUGUAAAGGGAGCGCAGGCGGGAAGACAAGUUGGAAGUGAAAUCCAUGGGCUCAACCCAUGAACUGCUUUCAAAACUGUUUUUCUUGAGUAGUGCAGAGGUAGGCGGAAUUCCCGGUGUAGCGGUGGAAUGCGUAGAUAUCGGGAGGAACACCAGUGGCGAAGGCGGCCUACUGGGCACCAACUGACGCUGAGGCUCGAAAGUGUGGGUAGGAAACAGGAUUAGAUACCCUGGUAGUCCACACUGUAAACGAUGAUUACUAGGUGUUGGAGGAUUGACCCCUUCAGUGCCGCAGUUAACACAAUAAGUAAUCCACCUGGGG